AAUAUUUUCGGUUAUAAUUGUUUAAUUAAAAAGUUAAAUGAUCAUUUUGUAAAAAUAAAUAGAAGAGGUGAGAUGGAAAAAAUAUAGUUUCUCAUUGGCCGAUUAUUUUUGCCUACGUGGACACUCUAUCUAAGGCUGAUAUCCUCAUUUUAUUACUUGUUUGAUGUGAGGAAAAAUUAUUUAUUGAAAAAUGCAAUGUGCAUAUAUUUCUUGUGUAGCAAAAAAUUUAGGGAAAAUUGGAUAAAUAGGACACUUUGAACUUGGAUUUGUCACAUUAGGAUUUCUAGAAGAUAUUUUAGGAAAAUAGGAUUUUAGAUCUUGUAAAAUACCAAAGUACCCUUAAUUUACCAAUUAUGUUGAAUUUAAAUUAUAAAUUAUAAUAAUUUUCGUAAUAGAUUUUAAUGUUAAAAUUAAAAUCUAUAAAAAUUAAAAAAUAAAAAAAACACUAAAUGGGAAAAAAGGAGACGCGGGAUGCCGCAAACCUAAUUCCCCUUUCUCUUUGUCUUCUCCGUCGUAGACUCGUCGCUCUCCCACGGCGAUUUAGGGUUCAACGGUGAGAAGCUCUGUUCUUCGUCGGUGUUUCAUCAGCCCGUGGUCUCUACUCUCGUCUCCGUCACCAUCCUUUUCGAUCUCACUGAAGACACAACGGCUGCGAAUCGUUCUUCCUCUUCGUCGGGUCAAAUCGAUUUUCGAAGUGUUCUUCCAUCAAUUUCGCCUCUCAAUCUCACAAUUCUUCACAGAAGGUAUUGGAUUUCAUCUAUAGAUUCUCAUAUUAAACGAAAUCGAAGUGUUCUUCCAUUAAAGCUUGAUUUUUUUUUAAAAUGAUUUGCCGUGUUUCUUAAAAUAAUUUUGUUUCACGGAUUGGUUGAUAUUAUUGAAACCUUUACAUGUGUGAUGAUAUUGAAACCUUUACAUGUUGAACUAAUAAUUUUGUCACGGUUUGUAGCUAUGUCUGAGGAGCUACCGAAGAGGCUUUUUAAGGAGGGCGAGGAGCCCCGAGUUACUCAGAUCAACAACAACUGCAGGAUCGACUACAUAAUCCGAAAGUUCCAAGCGUGGCUGCCAAAGGAGUUGGAUGUCGUGAAGAAAGACCCGGUUUUUCAUCAGAUUUUUAAGCUCCAUGAGAAUGGUCUUGGAUACUCUGCGAGGGUGAUACACAGCUUCUUGUGUAGGGAGCUGGUGACUUUCUUACAGCACGAGCUAUGGUUUGUCUUUGCGAGGAGACCGCUUCGAUUCUCAUUGCAAGAGUUCCACGCCGUAACCGGGUUUGAAUGCGAUACUCACAUUUCGAUUGAGGAGUUUGAAGAGUGGAAAUAUGAUGGUGGUUUCUGGAGCAAGGUUUUGAGGAGAAAAGAUGGAACAAUUACACUCUUCAACCUGUGGACUAAGGACAAGGAAGCUGUAAAGAAAUGGAAGAAUGCAGAUCGCAUACGUCUUAUCUACUUGGCGAUCAUUCUUUGUGUGGUAUUGGCGAGAGAUGAGAAGGCUAAUAUCCCCCUGAAGUACAUCGCGGUGGUCAUGGAUCUUGACAGAGUUCGAAGGUAUCCUUGGGGAGUUGCUGCUUAUGACCUUCUCUGCAAAUCCAUAGCCAAAAAUCGUUCCCAACUGAAGGAAAAGACCACUAGCUAUGUCUUGGAUGGCUUCUCAUACGCCUUGCAGAUUUGGGCAAUGGAAGCGGUGCCAAAAAUCGGGAAGCUUUGUGGAAAAAAGCUGGAUAAGGGUUUCAAGGACGGUCCUAGAUGCAUAAACUGGAUGGGAGCUGCGAAGGUGUCAUAUGAGGAGAUCAUUCGCUUGGAGGAGAUUAUUACACCCAAGGAUGACAUCUACCCAUACAUCUCAUGGACAGGAAAUUAUGAUGUUGUCAAAGCUCAGGCGUUUCGCAGAGAUGAUGAUGUGGAGGAUGACAGAAUCAAGGUUCUGAUGGAGAUGAUAAAGAAGGGGCAUGAUUUUAGUGAGCAUGUUUGGGAAACUGAAGAAAAUGAAGUGAUUUCUUUAUCUCUCGAUGACGAAUCAGCUGUGAAUGAUGAAGCAAGCGUGAAUGUUGAAGCAGCCGAGAGUGAUGACGACUUUCAGACUCCGAAAGGAUCAAAAAACGUUGGUUCUAGAUCAAAGAGGGGUAAAAAGAGGCUUCCCGAUCGUGGUAUGGAGAAGAGAAAGCAUAAGGUUCUCGCAAGUGGCGCAAAGCAAGCUCCUUUUAAUGAAGACAUGAAGGCUUUUAUGACACAGUUGUUUGAGCACAACUUCUCUGGAAUGGAACAAAGGAUACAGAAACAGAUGGCCGAGACAUUUGAGCAGAUGCGGACAGAGCUUAAACAAUCACGUAAGGAAGCCAGCGUUGAAGUUGAGCUUGGAGAGCCUUCACCGACAAAGCCAUCGACGAGCCAGGCACCGUUGAGGAGGUCCACACGCGGGGUAAACAAACACUAGUCUUCACCAUCCUCUUCAAUGUUAUUUUGUCUUGUUUAAGUUCGUGGUUUGCGUGUCUGUUUGUUUUAUUGGCAUCUAAGUUAUCGGCCUGAAUUUUGUUGUACUUUAUAAGGUCUCGGUUUGUAUGUGUGCUUGGUGUGUAAGUGUUCUUGGUUUGUAAGUGUCUUGUUUGAACUUAUGUAAUGGUCUGGAACUUUUAUGUAAAAUAAUUAUUAAUGAUAAUGUAUUUUGGUAUCUCAAUUAUUGCUUAUUUGUCAUGAAAUAACAGGAUGGUUCCGAGACUACAUUCGAUGUGAAUUAUAGUGAAGCAGAUGAUUUGGGUCGCGGGAUAGGUACACAAGGGGUUGAAGGGCUUUCUCAGACGUCGUAUGUGCCAGGCUUUGAUCCAUCUCAGGACAAAAAAGAAGAAGACUGGUGGACUCCAAUGACUUCGGUCCGAGGUUCAGUGGAUAAUCCAGUAAAGAAAGAAAAGACAGAGAUGAAUACAGCUCCACCGCCGUCACAGUGGGAGAAAUGGUGCAAAAGAAAAGGUCAUGGACUUCAGCUUAGCGAUUCACCAUUGCCAGAAGAUGCUUCUCCGCAGGCGUCACUUUAUUAUAUCUCCGAAGAGUCAUGGAAAGGAUUCACGGAAUGGGCAUUAAAGCCUAUACCUUUAACAAUUGGUCCUACAUGCUUUAAUUUGUCUGUAGCUACAAGAGUAGUAAGUGCUGGAAAAUGGCUUGGAAACGAGGUAAUGAAUCUUGUACUAACCUUUAGUGAAUUUAUCUUCCUAACACUUCUUAUAUGCUAUAUUACUUAACUUUCAUUGUAAAUUUUUAGGAGAUGGAUGCGGUUAUGUUUAUAUGGCGUGUGAACACUACAUUGAAUCGUUGGGCCCCUCGGCGUGUUGCUUUCAUGAGUGCUAUGUUUUGCCUCCAAGUAGACGCUGCAUACAAGAAGUUUUUACCAAACAAAAAAGCCUAUCAAUUGCCUGAUUUCCUUCUUGGGUACGGCAGAGGAGAGCUUCCAUCUCAUGGGCGGACUGAUCUAGUUUGGGGUGUUGAUGUUGAUCGACUCUACUUUCCUCUGUUUGUAAAUGGUAACCAUUCAGUUCUUUUUACAUCCUAGUAUACAUUUCUUCGUUUACAAAUUUUUGUGGACACGAACGCAGGUAAUCACUGGGUUGGUGUCUGUGUAAACAUCAUUGAAAGAAAAGUAGAAGUCUUUGAUUGCGGUCGGGGAAAGAACAGACAGUACGUUGAGAAGUUUGCUGCUAUCAUUCCUAGGAUUGUGAAGUCCGUUGCACCACAAGAAAGACAGAAGCAGCUACUCCUCUCAUCAUAUUCUAUCGUGGAUGUGCCUAUGAAGUUGAGAUUGAAUAAAAGUUGUUGUGAUUGCGGUGCAUACGCUUUGAAGCACUUGGAAUGCUCGCUGCUUGGUCUUGACGUCAGUUUAGUGGAUGAUGAAAUCAUUAUGGGUUGUAGACAGAAGAUUGGAGUGGACUUAUGGGAGGCUGCACACGACCCCAUCUUUGCUGAGGUUAUGACACGAUAUGUGCCUUCACCAUGGGAGAGGUCUGAGGUCUUUGACCUGGAGGAUGAUUGAUUAACUGUGAUUUUAGUAGUUUGGUUUGUUAGAAUUAGAAAACAACUUUGGCUUUGGUAUUUGAUUUGAAUUAAGAAACAACUCUAGCUUUGAUUUUGUAUAAAUUAUGAAACAACCCUAUAAAGAACAAAAUCAUAAAAACUGAGGACCCAAACCCUAAACAAACCCUUAACUAAAACCAUAACCAUAGACAUACCCUAACCAAACCCUUAACUUAAACCAUAACCAUAGACAUACCCUAACCAAACCCUAAAACCAUAAUACAAUCAUGAUUCUUAAUCAUACCCUAAACAAACCCUAAAUCUGUAAUUCAUAGUCAAACCCUUAACCCUAAAUAAACUCUAAAACCAUAACCGUAGACAUACUCUAACCAAACCCUUAACUAAAACCAAAUACAAAUUAAUCCAACGCCUCAAACACACACCUAUUUAUUGAUUAUUUUUGUACAUUGGUCACUAUCUAAGUACGUCCGUCCACUAUGUUUGAUAGAUGUUUAAACACUAAUUUAGAGGGUUCAAAGACAAAGUUCUUGUGGUGUUAUCGAUAAAUUCAAAAUGAUUUUUUUCUGCUCUGCCUUAGCUAGAAUACGCGUUCUGGGAGUAUGAAACGACGUAGUUUUGGUUAUUUUUUUGACCUAAUCUCUUUUCUUCCUCAUUCUUCCUCGACAGAGAGAUUGCAGCGGCGAAAAUUUGGAGAUCGACUCCCUCAUGUCUUCAGUAAAUUCUUCAUCCACUACAAGAGAUCGCCUCGCGAAACAACGGGGAAUUCCCACAAGAUGCAAUUGCGGUGAGGCAGUGAAUCGUUUCACUUCAAAAACAAUUCAAAAUCCGGGAAGAUUAUUUCAUUGUUGUCCUUUGGGAUCUCAAAAGGACAAAACCCACUUGUUCAAAUGGACUGACAAGUCAGUUGUUGAGGAGAUUGAAGACUUCCAAGACCUGUUUGACGUGUUACUCGUUGACAAUUCCGAGUUUCAGAAAUCAGUGAGAGCUGGUGAGGCCAUGAUGACACGCCAUGAGAGUAGAAUUCAAGAGAUGGAAGAUGCAAUGUGCCAUUGCGAAGAGAAGACCUUGGAAUGCAUUAGGGAACUUAGGGGCAUAAAAGCUUUGUUUGUGUGUUGUUUGGUGAUGGUCUUCUUGUACCAUAUCUAUGCAUGAUGUUCAACUACUUUUAUGUGCUUCCUCAACUUGUUGUUUCUUAUUUUCAAAGAAGUUAAGACCAUGUUUCUUGUUAUUUCGAGGUGAUCAUCAUCUACUGAAACGAAUUAUUUUGCAAUUACUUUGAUUGUUACUAGAAUAAAUCGAUUUGUCUCUAUAGUUUAGCAAAUACCAAAUUGUCAAAUAGGUUCUUAAACAGAAGAUCAAAUUGUUUCAAAAGCAAUAA